GAGAGAGGGAGAGAGAGAGAGAGAGAGAGAGAGAGAGAGAGAGAGAGAGAGAGAGAGAGGGAGGGAGAGAGAGAGAGAGAGGGGGGGGAGGGAGAGAGAGAGAGAGAGAGAGAGAGAGAGAGAGAGAGAGAGAGAGAGAGAGAGAGAGAGAGAGAGAGAGAGAGAGAGAGAGAGAGAGAGAGAGAGAGUCACCAUCGCAAACAACACACACCUGCUUUGGAAAAGAAAAUGACCAAGUCUAAAAGCACUUGCUUCCUCUUGGUUUGGACAAGCCCUUUGUCCUCCCCACCCCCAACCCUAGGGAGCAACUUACGGAAUGGAAACUGGCAGAGGCUCAUUACUUUUCCUAUAUGAAUUUGGCUGUCAUUAUCUGAAGGAAGGAAAAAAUAAGAUAGUUAUUGAAGUACAAUAAAUGUGAAGGGGAAUGGACAUUGGGAGGGGGCAAAGGGAGAGAGAAUGGAGGGUGGUCAAGUAAAUGGAGAAAGAAAAGGUGGAGAAAAGGGAAAAAAACAGAAAUAGAAUCAAAAAAGAAGACAGAAAAUGGAAAAGGAAGAAGGAGUAAAGAAAGACAGGGAGGGGAGAAUGGAAGAGAAAGGGAGAGUAUUGCAGAGUAGACAUUUCAUCCCAGUGAAGCAAGAUUUCUCAAGCCAUGGGCACCCCUCGGGUUAAUGAGUGAGGGAGAUCCCCUUUGAGGCCACUAGGAGCUGAGAAAAGGUCAAGGGACAUCUUCCAAACAAAAUCUUGAUUAAAGCCAGCUAAAUGUUUUGACUCGAAGGAGACACGAAGGAUUAAAAAGCAAAACAGAGUGGCAUGGGUAAGAAAGGAACAGGAAAAGAAAGAAAAUUUUAAAAAAACUCACCAGGGACACAAAGGAAAUGGUAACAAACACGUCUGAAUCAGCUAGUCAUCUGCUAACAAGCUGUAAAGAUUUCCAAUGACAAGUUGUCACAUUAGUUUAGUGAAACUGAAGCAGCACUUAUCCCUUUUCCUGUGCUUAAUCUCUCCCUGCGUGCCACAGAAACAUGCUACCACGUUUAAUAGGAUUAGUUUCGUUCACUUUCUCCAGCCCCCCCUUAUUAUUAUUUUUUUUACAAUUCUAUUUUCAGCAAUACAAGAAUCCUUGAAUUCAUCUACCUCCUGCUGCGCCCAGCAAACCACCACAUGGAUGGUUUCAUUUUUACCCCCUCAAUGCAAUGACUUUAUUUGAGUGAGGGUACGGAUUUAGGAGAGUUUGUAUCAUUUUGUUCUAAUGGGACCACCAAAUACACUGAAGAGUUCACCUUGAAAUGAUACAUGCAAAAGGGGGAAAUGCGCCAUGAACAGGCAUAUAUAUCUAUAUAUGUUUGGGUGUGUAUAUGUAUGCGUAUAUGUAGGAAGCAAAAUGAGCACUUCUUCAUCCUUCUAACUUUUGCUAAGAUGAAGCAACUGAAAAAUGUAUGGCCCAGGCCUCAUGUCUUGAUUAAAUGAUACAGAAGGGACAAAGGGACAAAGAAAGGGAAGAAACCUUGUUUGGGGGAGUUGUUUGUGGUAGUUUUGAGUUUUAAAAGAGAUCAUUACAAAGCAGGAUAUUUGAUAAGAGUAUCACAGAACUACAAAAUAGCAGAAUUUGAAAGUUAGAAGGGACCUCAUUGCCAUUAUCAAUUAUCAGAAAAGUUAUUUGUAAGAACACUCUAUUGAUAGUAUAAUGACCUGGUUUCUUGAACCCAGAAUCUACUUAGGUAGGCAAAGUAGAAAGAGUACUAGCCUGGAAUUAGGAAGAUCUGAGUUCAAAUCCAGCCUCCAGAACUAGUUGUAUGACCCUGGGCAAGUAACUUAACUGCUACUUACCUCAGUUACCACAGUUGUAAAAUGAGGAUAAUUAAAAAAAAUACUACCUCUCAGGUCUGUCAUGAGGAUCAAAUGGGAAAAUAUUUGUAAAAUGCUUAGCACUGGGAGUGGCACAGUAGGUACUUAAUAAAUGUUUCUUCACUUUCUAGUUCAACACUUGCCAUCUUUGUGACAUUAAGCAAGUCACUUAACCAAUCUCCCUGGGUCAAAGGUUGCUCAUCUGUAAAAUGAACAGCUUGGGCUAGAUGAUUAUUAUUUCAUUCCUUGAUUUGUAUUCUCAGCUUCUAGCACAGUUCCUAGCAUACAAUCAAUGCUUUUUGAUUGAUUGAUUGAACCUGAAACUAACUCUAAUCCUAAGACUAUAUAUUUCCCUCUCUUCAGUUUUCACCAGAAUGUUCUUUUGCUCUGUUCUCAACCAGAAUCUUCUAGAAUCAUUGGCUGAUUUUGGAAUCUCAGAGAAUGAAACAUAAGAACCUAAGAACUUGCAAACUUGGGUCUGAUCCAUACUUCAUGUCUGGGGAGAGAAGGAAUAACCUCUAUCUAUAGUUUUUGAAUUCACCUUCUCUAAAGGAGUUAAAGAAGUUCUCAUAGAAGCAAGUUUACCCUACACAAAAGGAAACAAGAAAGAUGAAGAAGCUGGGCUAAUGAGAGAAUGGGUCAAGUACAGGAGAACCAGAACUCCAUCUAGCUCCAGAAGGAUGCAAAUUUCUGAAAGUAUUCCUUACUUUGAUCAGAACUGAGCUAUGACAAAACUGAGCUAAUUCUCUAGGAUCAGAGGAACAAGAUGGGGGAAGGGGUAACCAAUCCUGGGCAUGGGAAACAAGAUCUCCAGCCUUAAAGUGGAAAAUGGGGAGAAGUCAGAACAGAUAAUCAGGAGUUCAAGGAAAGAGCCAGGGAAUAUAGUAUACUGGACCAUUCUCUACCCAUUCCUCCCCUGUCUCUUCAUUCUCUCAUAGCUGCUUUCCCAUCACCUUCAUAGUGGGAGUUUUGAAGAGACCUCAGGUUGAACACAAGAAUGAAAUGUAGAGUAUAAGAAAAAAAGAUGGAGCCCCCUUCUCAUCCCGGACCACAUAGAGAUGGAAAGAGGGUAGAUAAAGGUGAUGGUUGGCGGGGGUAAGGGAGGAGGAGCUCAGCAAAAAACCUUCAAAAUGCGCCGCUGUCUGGUGAAUCCCAUGCGCUCUCCAAGGCCCAAGCGAAAUGGCUGGAUUAUGUAAGUAACAUCUCACCAUGUGCUUACCACCAUCUGUUAAUAUCUUGGUACUGGAAAGUUUGAUGCCUGAGGCAAAACCGGGGUUGGCGUGGAAAAGAUCCACUUUAGACGGUCUUCCAUAAGAAUCCAGGACAGGGAAUUUCCCUCUUUUUAAGUCCUCCUACCCCCUCCCCCUGCGUGUGUGUUGGGGGAAGGGGACGCUAUUGUAAAAUAUUAAAAGAAAGGUGAUCCUUCCAAGUAAGUGGUUGGGGGAGGAAGAAUUGGGAGAGGUAACCCCGAGAAGAUUUUAAUCAAGUUCGAAGAUAGUAUUGUGUUCUUUGACUGAAUUUGGUUUGGAUUCCUCUAGGGCCUGCUCUAGGUGAGGGAUAAGCGGGAGGGUGCCAGGAGGAGGAAAGUCUCCUUUUUUUUUUUUUUUCGGGAGACCUUUCCCACAAACAAACGCCACUACUAUCCCCCAAGGCCCGGAAACCCUUCUAAGGUUUGUACUUCAAGUUCUAUGAAGUGAUUCGCUUCUGUUUACUUUGAAAGCUGUUGGUUAAACAAACAUUACUCUGGAGGCUCAUAAGCUGUGGGGUUCCCAAGAGAGAAUCUCCGCAGCUGCUACUUGCUACUGAUCUUGUGGCAUUUCACUUUUUUCCCCUUUCUGUUUUUUUUUCGGAACCAAUGCAGGUUAUAGAUUUGGCUUUUCCUCGGGGCAUCCGUGAAUUAGAACUCCCUGGGAGAUAGACAGUCUGUGACUCAGUACGGGGCCAGGCGCUAGCCCUAAGGGUUGGCUUUUCUUCCUAGCUCUUUCCGUGUGAGUGUGUUUGUGUACCAGUCCGAGAGCCUGUGUGCGCUGGUGUGUCUAUCAAGAUCAUUAGAGGUUGUCUCCUGAAAUCCACACCGAUGCCUCUUGUUCUGGUAACGAGAUCAGAUCGCGAUCCCCAGAAGGAAUAAAACCAGGUUGGGAUUUUAUGAAGUUUGGUAGUAAUUGAUGUUUUAAAUGAUGGAGUCGCUUUCUCACCCAUUCAGUUCAAGCAAAGAAACGAGAGGAAAAAAAUUCACUCCACGAUGGAAACACUAAGGCGAAGUUCAUUUAUUUAACCUACAGGCCAAAGUAACAUUAUUUCUAAUGGUAAAUAAACAAAUUCAUCAACAGCAAAGGCUCCUUAAAUUUGUAAUAGAAGAAGCUGCGAAACUUUUAUAAACUUUAAGCUUCUUGGAAUUGGAAGGAGGGUGUCAUGUUAAACCAAUAGCUGCUUGUUUUCAAAGAUAAUUCCUAUCUGGUCUAGUCUCCAGGCUUACCGGACCCCUUCCUCUGAAGAAAACAGAUGGGAGAAUCAUAUCAGAUAGGAGAGACAAGGGCCUUGUGCCUUGCUUCUUUUAGGAACAAGAAUAAGAAAGGAAGAAAUGGUGGCCCAGUUUGAAAAGAGAAAGAUUUUAAAUGGUACAUGUAUUUCCCAUAGUAAGGGACAGGGCAAUAGGAUUCCACAAGCGAAAUCUUCAUAACAGAAGUGGCAGGCUUAGAGCUUGCUUUCAGGGUCUCUUACUCUUGCGUUUGGUUGCGUUCUUAUUUCAGUUAAGCCCGCUUUUGAACAGCUAAGGCAGGCUAUAGAACUGAGAAAGACUCACAGAGUGCAGCAAAUUGCGCAGGGGAGCAGUAGGGAGGUAUAGAAGGAGUAACUGGAGCAGAGUGGGAAACCAGGAGCAGCCGGAAAGAAGAGAGAGCAAAAUUGCAUCUCGGACCCUUUAACACAAGUCCCUCCAAAGUUGCACCGUCCACUGAAUCUGAUAAAGGAAUAGAAACCGCCUCAGGAACUUUUUCCUCAGACAGUUCCUUAGGGUGAGUGUAUGAAUGAGUGGGGUGUGUGUGUGUAUGUUUGUGUGUGUGUGUGUGUGUUGUGUGUAGUUUGCAUCUGAGUUCAGAACAAUAGAAAUGAACUUUUAGGCUAAAGUUCAACUAAUUUGUUUCCGAAGAAAAGUCCAGGUCUUAAUCCUCUGGGGGAGCUUGUCUCCCCUACUCCUCCCCCUCCCCCUUCCUCGCCCUGUUGUUUCAAAUGCCAGACUGGGCAGAUGGCUUUAAGGUGUAGAGGGCACGUCUCCCUGACUCCUACCAAUUUCCUUGGGAGUUGGCACUCGCUUCCAUUUAGAAUCUGUGAUUCUUAACGCCCCCUCCCCCCCCCAAAAAAAAGAAAGAAAAAGAAAAGAAAAGAAACGAAUGAAGUAUACUAUAUCCUGGGACUCAAAUUUCUCCCAAACACACCAGAUUUUCUCGAAAAUACUUGAUAAGGGUAUUAUUAAGUCCCUGUAUCUGAUGGAAAUUCUGACGAGUCCUUCUACUCCAAAAUCUAGAUUCUCCCACUCCAACUAAAUUGUUAUACACUGGGGGGUGGGGGGAGUAUGUUUUGUGUAGUCUGUGUGUGUGUAUGUGUGGUGUGUGUGUGUGUGUGUGUGUGUGUGUGUGUGUGUGUGUGUGUCCCCAGGGUAAGGACUGGAGUAUUAUGUAGACUGACUUUCCCCGGGAUCUCUUUUUUUCAUCUUUGCCGAAGAGAUUUAACCUGGCCGGUUUAAUUUUUCUGCUCCUCUCCAAUGUUUUAAUUCUGUGCCAGAAAGUUUCCUGCGGUGCUUGACUUGGACGAGUUAUCAUCGUUAUUUCUUUAAAAAAGAGAACUUUUAAUAUCCUUCUCACAGUUUGACGGUUCUGUGGCUGAAAUUAAAAGCGUCCAAGAAAAGGGGCGUGUGCUCCUGUGUGUGUGUGUUCGGGAGGGGCUGCUGUGGUGGUUGGUGGUGUUCUGGCUGUUUACUAUUAACACACUUCAUAAAUCUGCCAUAAUAGUUGAGGUGCAAAGAAUGAUCACAACCUUUGAUCUGAUUAAAUUCCGAGUUCUCUUGCGGAGAAAAAUAAAUGCGGAUCCUCUCCAAAUGACCAAAAAAAAAUCAACAACAAAAAAAACGGAGUGUAGUUCAAUCGGUAUUUAAUAGGCAAGGUAUGAAUUGUUUUCGGCUUCUCAAUCUUUCCAAGUCUUCACUUCUAUAGGACCCUGAAGUCAUAAACUCAAUGACUUUAUUAAAAAAUAAACAUUUAUUCUAUUUCUCUUGAAAGGUAGAACAGUAACUUUAACCCAAUGAUACCCUUCCUUCAUAUUUGCAUCUUGAAAGUCCUAACGAUUCAUUUCAAGUUCAUAUUCUUUAUCUUUUCUAUGUAUCUGUUUCUUUGUCUCUGAGCUUCUCUGUGUCUCUCUGUGUGUCUCUCAAUAAUGUCAAAUUGAAGUUUUCUUUCGGUAUUGUUUUGAUGCCUCACAUUUAAGAAGAUGAAACCACUUUCCUAAAGAGCUUCCCAGUUUGCUAUCCGGGCUCAAGUUGUCCAAGUUGGUCAGAAGUGCAGUAAUCUAUCUUCUUUCCAUCACCCUAGGACACGUUACCAAGUCAUAAAGUGUCAGAGCUAGGAGAAAACUAAAAGAUAAUUUAGGUAGACCCCCCCCCCCCAUUUUACGUGGAAGCAAACUAAGUUAUUCUUUGUGGAAUGCAAUGAAAUUAUUGGGUAAUUCUUAGGUCUUUUAAGAAGAUUGCUGAAUAUAAAAGUGAAGAUGAUGCUCUCAGAGGUAGUCAAGUGCAUCUACUUCUCCCAAGAAAUGUAGGGCAAUUGCCUGGAACUUGGGCAAUUCUUAUUUUUCCCACUAUAUUCAGUGUUUAUGGGGAACUGUGAAAUGUCGAACAUUUUUUCCCCACCAAAUCUACCUGCAUAUCAUCCCACGUCCGAGAAAAGAGGAGAGAAGAAGAGAAAAGAGGAGAGGAGAGGAGAGGAGAGGAGAGGAGAGGAGAGGAGAGGAGAGGAGAGGAGAGGAGAG